UAGCUAGUUGGUGAGGUAAAGGCUUACCAAGGCGACGAUCUGUAGCGGGUCUGAGAGGAUGAUCCGCCACACUGGAACUGAGACACGGUCCAGACUCCUACGGGAGGCAGCAGUGGGGAAUUUUGGACAAUGGGGGCAACCCUGAUCCAGCCAUGCCGCGUGAGUGAAGAAGGCCUUCGGGUUGUAAAGCUCUUUCGGCCGGGAAGAAAUCGCAUGGGCCAAUACCCUGUGUGGAUGACGGUACCGGAAUAAGAAGCACCGGCUAACUACGUGCCAGCAGCCGCGGUAAUACGUAGGGUGCGAGCGCUAAUCGGAAUUACUGGGCGUAAAGCGUGCGCAGGCGGUUUUGUAAGACAGGCGUGAAAUCCCCGGGCUUAACCUGGGAACUGCGUUUGUGACUGCAAGGCUAGAGUACGGCAGAGGGGGGUGGAAUUCCACGUGUAGCAGUGAAAUGCGUAGAGAUGUGGAGGAACACCAAUGGCGAAGGCAGCCCCCUGGGUCGAUACUGACGCUCAUGCACGAAAGCGUGGGUAGCAAACAGGAUUAGAUACCCUGGUAGUCCACGCCCUAAACUAUGUCAACUAGGUGUUGGGUGGGUAAAACCAUUUAGUACCGUAGCUAACGCGUGAAGUUGACCGCCUGGGGAGUACGGCCGCAAGGUCAAAACUCAAAGGAAUUGACGGGGACCCGCACAAGCGGUGGAUGAUGUGGAUUAAUUCGAUGCAACGCGAAAAACCUUACCUACCCUUGACAUGCCAGGAACUUGCCAGAGAUGGCUUGGUGCCCGAAAGGGAGCCUGGACACAGGUGCUGCAUGGCUGUCGUCAGCUCGUGUCGUGAGAUGUUGGGUUAAGUCCCGCAACGAGCGCAACCCUUGUCGUUAAUUGCCAUCAUUUAGUUGGGCACUUUAACGAGACUGCCGGUGACAAACCGGAGGAAGGUGGGGAUGACGUCAAGUCCUCAUGGCCCUUAUGGGUAGGGCUUCACACGUCAUACAAUGGUCGGUACAAAGGGUUGCCAAGCCGCGAGGCGGAGCCAAUCCCAGAAAGCCGAUCGUAGUCCGGAUUGCAGGCUGCAACUCGCCUGCAUGAAGUCGGAAUCGCUAGUAAUCGUGGAUCAGCAUGUCACGGUGAAUACGUUCCCGGGUCUUGUACACACCGCCCGUCACACCAUGGGAGCGGGUUCCGCCGGAAGUAGGUAGCCUAACCGCAAGGGGGGCGCUUACCACGGCGGGGUUCGUGACUGGGGUGAAGUCGAAACAAGGUAGCCGUAGGGGAACCUGCGGCUG
rnacentral:rRNA from 1 species